GGUUGUUAGCUUGAGUUCUUAGUUAUAAUGUGAUUAAAAUUAAAUCAAAAUUGGUGAAUAUGCCAAGAAACACCUCUUAACUAAGAGGUUUAAGAGUCCCUCAUAGUCAUCGACGUGGUCAAAAUUGGUCAUUUUAGAAAAAAAGAAAAACUUGUUUUUUGUUCUCCUUCUUCCUUCUCUCUCGCGAUGAGAGGUUGCAAACAGAGGAGAACGAUUGAACUUUUGGUGACCUCCGAGUGUUCGACGACGGUGACUCAUCCUAUCCAGAGACGGCGGAUCUCAAGCGACUCUGGGUCAGUUAAUCGGCGAGUUUGUUCUUUAAAACCGGAGAGUCCUUCACCAAAUUGAAGAUUAUCCGACUGUCUUCUUCUCUCCGGUUGGAAAAGCUGCUGGAGAUUAGUGAAUUACAUUGGUGGUUGUUUUAGGAGGAAGGUCCAAAGGAUAUGAGGAAUCUAACAAGGAGCUUGUUCCUGAUUGAGAGACUCCUCUGUUCAUCAAGCUCCUGACGCGAAAGGCUUAAGUAGCUUCGCUCUCUUUAUUGACGAUACUUUGAUUGGGUAAACAUUGGCGGCGGUGACUUGAUUUCUCAUAAAAUUGAUCCUUACGAGUUUGGGUUCUCCUCAGAAGUGUCGACUCUUAAGUUGCAUCUAGGGAACAACACAAUCAUCUCUAGCUACACGGUUUUUAAUCCUUGAAAUGCAGAACCAAAGGUACGUCUUUUUAAACUGUUUGAAGUUGCUCAUAUUCACCUGCUUUCUCUAUCUUUCUAGUUAUGUCAAGGUUUUUGCUUUAUAAUAAAUGCAUAUAGUUGGGCAUAUGAACCACACCUUGUCCACUUCAAGCUCUCCCCACACCUUUACCGUUUCACAUUGCAUAGUUAUUGUGGCUCUCUAAACUUUGAAUUGUAUUUGUGAGAAAGCUUUGAUAUAUGUAGAUAAUUUUUAUUGAUUGCAUUGUGUUUGGUGGGUAGAAUAAAUGCUUGUUAGGUGUUGAUUAGGAAUGUCUACAUCAUACUUAUUGUUCAAUGCUUAGUGUUAUGGUCUUUGAGUUCAAUGUUUGGUUGUGUUAUGUUAGGUAAAAAUGUUUACUUUGACAUUGAUUGCUAAUAACAACAACCACCAAAAUGUUUCUCUUUGCUCUAACAUUGAUCUCACCUUAUAUAGUUAAGCAUUCCUCCUUCAAAGUACAAACAGUUUACUCUAAACCAUUCAACAAUCUCUUUCAUUCUCAUUUAAAAGUACACGAUUCCAUGAACCCAUAUACCCACUCUCCUGGCUUCAUGGACCUAUUAAAUAGUCAAGGAGAAACCCACGCCAAUCCUCAUGAAAUAGAUUCACCAAGUAUUGAACUUGGUGAAUCACAAGUUCCUGAGUUUAGCACUCAAUGCUCUGAUGCUACACCACAAGGUCGUAGAUCAAGAAAUAAAUGGGCACCAGCAGAUGAUGUUCAGCUCAUUGGUGCAUGGCUGAACAAGAGCAAGGAUCCCAUAGUAAGUAAUGGUCAAAAAGGUGAAGCUUAUUGGAAACGGGUUGCUGAUUAUUUCAAUGCAAGUCCAAAGGUUGCCGGUUUAGAAAAGAGGCUCCAAAGUCAUAUAAAGCAGAGGUGGGGGAAGAUAAAUGACAUUGUUUGCAAGUUUGUUUAAUGCUACGAAGCUGCAACCAAGGAGAGAUCAAGUGGACAGAAUGAAGAUAAUGUUAUGAAGCUAGCCAACGAAAUAUACUUCAAUGAUCACAAGGUAAAGUUGACCCUAGAGCAUGCUUGGCGAGAGCUUAGAUAUGAUCAGAAAUGGUGUGCAAGUUCAUCACAAGGUAAAGGGAAUGGAAUGGGUAAAAGAAGGAAGGGUAUGGACGGUUCUUCAAGCUCCCAAUCAGAGAACCAUAGAGAGGAUGACUCAAUGAUUCGUCCACCUGGUGUUAAGGCUUCAAAGGCAAAAAACAAGAAUAUGAAGAAGACAGCCAUUGAUGAUGAAGAUAGCAAGUAUCUGUUGGAGUUAGAUGCGAUAUUGGAGCUAAAGCAAAAGGAUUUGCUUUAAAAGAGAAGAUUAGCAAUCGUAACCUCCUGGCAAUGAUACUUGCAAAAACAGAGCCACUAACUGAUCAUGAUAUAGCUUUAAAGAACAAGCUAAUUGAUGACAUUUUCUCAAGCUAAUUAGUUAUUUUUCUAUGAUGAGUGGUUGUGCUUGAGUUCAUCAUUGUAAUCAGUUUGUUUUUUUUGAUGUUUCAUGUAAUAUGUUUAUGUAUAUUGACUUUUUAUUGUAAUCGGUUUCUUUUUUUGAUGAUUUAAUGUGAUAUGUUUCUGUUGUUCAAGUUUUAAUGUGAUGUUUAAUCUACUUAUGUUCUUGA